rnacentral:rRNA from 1 species
GGUUGACCUCGGAUCAGGUAGGAAUACCCGCG